rnacentral:rRNA from 1 species
AUUGAACGCUGGCGGCAGGCCUAACACAUGCAAGUCGAGCGGUUGACGGGAGCUUGCUCCCUGAUUCAGCGGCGGACGGGUGAGUAAUGCCUAGGAAUCUGCCUAUUAGUGGGGGACAACGUUUCGAAAGGAACGCUAAUACCGCAUACGUCCUACGGGAGAAAGCAGGGGACCUUCGGGCCUUGCGCUAAUAGUUGCGCCUAGGUCGGAUUAGAUUGUUGGUGAGGUAAUGGCUCACCAAGGAGCCGAUGCGUAACUGGUCGGAGAGGAUGAUCUGUCACACUGGAACUGAGACACGGUCCAGACUCCUACGGGAGGCAGCAGUGGGGAAUAUUGGACAAUGGGCGAAAGCCUGAUCCAGCCAUGCCGCGUGUGUGAAGAAGGUCUUCGGAUUGUAAAGCACUUUAAGUUGGGAGGAAGGGUUGUAGAUUAAUACUCUGCAAUUUUGACGUUACCGACAGAAUAAGCACCGGCUAACUCUGUGCCAGCCGCCGCCGUAACAC